GUUCAUGCCUUCUUGCAGGAGGAUGUCGACGUGCCGGGUCUUGCUCGAUGGUGUUGAAGUUGACGUGUGCGCGGCCGUGGAUUUGAACGGGCAGCCCGUUCUCGACAACGGUGGCCAAGUGUACAUAACGAAAGACGGUGAGCGAGUGCACAUGCAGCUGAGAGCGCCGGAGGCGAAUCGGAAGAGAGCGGGAAAGCUCUGGGCCACAGCCAAAACUCUUUUCUUAAUUAGUAAAUUUAAAGAAUUGAAGGAAGAUUCAAGAUUGGCCUUAAGGGAAAGAAAACGCACGUGGGAGACAUUGGCAGAUAUCAUAAGCAAAGAAUUUAUUUGUGUUGUGACAGCCGCCCAGGUAGAAAAUAAGUGUCGAAAUUUAGAAAACAAAUUACAAAAAAACAAGAACCAACAACUCAAGAUCCGGUGCUGGACGAAAGACUUGCGAGUUUGAAGAGCAGCUGGCUGAAGAGUUUGAGAAGGCGCAUGCGAUAAACCCCCGUUAUCUUGAGGGACCAGGAGAGCUAAGGAGGUCAAGCACCCAGCCAGCUGCUUCUGCCAGCACAGUUAGUGCUGGCACAUCAUCCGCCACCAGCUUCCAGCCCGGCACAAGUCCUGACGAGACAGCGCAAGACAUGGGCUGUGAUGAGGCAGACAGCCCACCACCGUCACCACCAUCGCCACGCCCACCACCAUGCACAUCUGGACUCAAUGCACCCCACCGCCCCAAGGCCUGCCAGCCAAAAAACCCCGGCAGGACCGUGCGCGUGCCCAGAUUGACGGCUUCCUCGGCCAUCUCAACUCUACUGAGGACAUCCCGUGAAAAGUGGCGCAAGGAAUGCCAGUCAAUGGAAGAGGAACGACUCAUGAUAGAAGAGCGGCAGCACCAGGAGCUGCUGCCUGUCAUUUGGCAGCUGACCACAGCGGUCACCAAGCUACUGCCACAAGGAGCCAAUAUAGACGGGGAGGAAAUGUAAAUGAUUUUACUUUAUAAUAUUUUUCGCUUAUUCAUAUGGUAUGUGAAUUUUGUGUGCAAUAAAGUUGAUGUACGUCAUGUGUG